AAAAUUCGUUGGCUUUAUAGACCGUGAG
rnacentral:tRNA from 1 species